rnacentral:rRNA from 1 species
AAAUUGAAGAGUUUGAUCAUGGCUCAGAUUGAACGCUGGCGGCAGGCCUAACACAUGCAAGUCGAACGGUAACAGGAAGCAGCUUGCUGCUUCGCUGACGAGUGGCGGACGGGUGAGUAAUGUCUGGGAAACUGGCUGAUGGAGGGGGAUAACUACUGGAAACGGUGGCUAAUACCGCAUAACGUCGCAAGACCAAAGAGGGGGACCUUCGGGCCUCUUGCCAUCAGAUGUGCCCAGAUGGGAUUAGCU